rnacentral:rRNA from 1 species
UGGGGAAUAUUGGACAAUGGGCGCAAGCCUGAUCCAGCCAUGCCGCGUGAGUGAUGAAGGCCCUAGGGUUGUAAAGCUCUUUCACCGGUGAAGAUAAUGACGGUAACCGGAGAAGAAGCCCCGGCUAACUUCGUGCCAGCAGCCGCGGUAAUACGAAGGGGGCUAGCGUUGUUCGGAUUUACUGGGCGUAAAGCGCACGUAGGCGGGCUAUUAAGUCAGGGGUGAAAUCCCGGGGCUCAACCCCGGAACUGCCUUUGAUACUGGUAGUCUUGAGUUCGGGAGAGGUGAGUGGAAAUCCGAGUGUAGAGGUGAAAUUCGUAGAUAUUCGGGGGAACACCAGUGGCGAAGGCGGCUCACUGGCUCGAUACUGACGCUGAGGUGCGAAAGCGUGGGGAGCAAACAGG